AGAGUUUGAUCCUGGCUCAGGAUGAACGCUAGCUACAGGCUUAACACAUGCAAGUCGAGGGGUAACAUUAAGUUAGCUUGCUAACUUAGAUGACGACCGGCGCACGGGUGAGUAACGCGUAUCCAACCUGCCCCAUACCAGGGAAUAGCCUUUCGAAAGAAAGAGUAAUGCCCUAUGUUAUCCCAUGCAGACAUCCAAAUGGGAUCAAAGAUUCAUCGGUACGGGAUGGGGAUGCGUCUGAUUAGGUUGUUGGCGGGGUAACGGCCCACCAAACCGACGAUCAGUAGGGGUUCUGAGAGGAAGGUCCCCCACAUUGGAACUGAGACACGGUCCAAACUCCUACGGGAGGCAGCAGUGAGGAAUAUUGGUCAAUGGCCGAGAGGCUGAACCAGCCAAGUAGCGUGAGGGACGACGGCCCUAUGGGUUGUAAACCUCUUUUAUACGGGGAUAAAGUGAGCCACGUGUGGUUCAUUGCAGGUACCGUACGAAUAAGGACCGGCUAAUUCCGUGCCAGCAGCCGCGGUAAUACGGAAGGUCCGGGCGUUAUCCGGAUUUAUUGGGUUUAAAGGGAGCGUAGGCCGCCUUAUAAGCGAGCAGUGAAAUGUAGAGGCCCAACCUCUGAAUUGCUGUUCGAACUGUAGGGCUUGAGUACGCACGAGGUAGGCGGAAUUUGUGGUGUAGCGGUGAAAUGCUUAGAUAUCACAAAGAACCCCGAUUGCGAAGGCAGCUUACCGGAGCGCAACUGACGCUGAAGCUCGAAAGUGCGGGUAUCGAACAGGAUUAGAUACCCUGGUAGUCCGCACGGUAAACGAUGGAUGCCCGCUGUUGGCCCUUGUGGUCAGCGGCCAAGCGAAAGCGUUAAGCAUCCCACCUGGGGAGUACGCCGGCAACGGUGAAACUCAAAGGAAUUGACGGGGGCCCGCACAAGCGGAGGAACAUGUGGUUUAA
rnacentral:rRNA from 1 species